rnacentral:rRNA from 1 species
AGAGUUUGAUCCUGGCUCAGAAUCAACGCUGGCGGCGUGCCUAACACAUGCAAGUCCAACCCCAAAGGGGAGCAAUCCCUAAGUAGAGUGGCAAACGGGUGAGUAACACGUGGGUGACCUGCCUUCGAGUGGGGGAUAACGUUCCGAAAGGAGCGCUAAUACCGCAUGACAUCCUGCCUUUAGACAGGCGGAGAUCAAAGCUGGGGACCGUAAGACCUAGCGCUUGAAGAGGGGCCCGCGCCUGAUUAGCUAGUUGGUGAGGUAACGGCUCACCAAGGCGACGAUCAGUAGCCGGCCUGAGAGGGCGGACGGCCACACUGGGACUGAGACACGGCCCAGACUCCUACGGGAGGCAGCAGUGGGGAAUUGUUCGCAAUGGGCGCAAGCCUGACGACGCAACGCCGCGUGGAGGACGAAGAUCUUCGGGUCGUAAACUCCUGUCGAGCGGUUGAAUAACCGCGCGGGUUAGCACGGAGUAGCGGAGCGUCCGUAGCGUAGCUCAU